AUAGAUGUUAGAGUAAUAGAUGCUGUAUCAAGGAGAUUGUGUCAAGGAGAUAAUCUAAAGAUUAUCUAAGCUUUCAGUGGUUGCCCUUCUUGGAUUACACACCCCAUUGUGAUCACUCUGUGCCCAUCUUAGAUAUCCUUCAUCUUUGCUUUUUGGCUAUUCCGUUGCCAGUAAGACUUGGGUACAGCCAGAUAGGGAAUUUAUUUUUUUUCUGCAUCACUUUAGGCUAUUCCCACUCUCACACUGAAGUUGUACCAUCCCUAAAAUGACAAAUUUCAAGUCAGAAGAAAAGAGAACAUUUCAAAAUGAGCAAAAACUACUGUUAGUUUGUCCCAAGUCUUUCCUGGGCUUUCAGCUUUCUUUCCUUUAUUUUCAAGACUUACUCUUCAUGAAUUCACUGAUGUCCUGUUUUUGACAACCCAGGAGUAACAAGCAUAAGCAUUUGAGAGCAAUAUGAAUCGAAUAAAAAGAUGCCAUUCAAAAGUUCAUGCUACCUUCUCACAGGUCUCAUAUCGAUAAUGCCAUGAGAGACCAAAGACCAAGCCAUGCAAACAACUCCAAUAAGACUUGUAGGUCAAUCCCUGAGAAAUGUAAGGAGAAAUGUCGUAAGGAUGAUUUCAUGAGGAUAAUACUGAAUGAACCCAACAAGGAUACUUCAGGGAAGAUUUAUACAGUUUUCCUGGCUUUGUACAGUUUUCUGAAAACUGUACAAAGGUGAAAUAGUUUGUUGAAGAGCUAUUGAUAGUAGCUCUUGAGAGUUGAAGAGUUGAAGACAAUGUAGUCAACCACCAUGGGAUUAAUAGAGUCGUAAAAUAUGGCAUGUGUGCAAAAAGGAAUAAUGGUCGGAUGGAUUGAACUAAAUCCAGGAAUGGAAGCAUGAACCGAUUUGAGGAACAUGCUGCUACCAUAAAAGAUAAAUAUGAAAUGAGUAGCAAAAUAAAAU
rnacentral:lncRNA from 1 species